CCUACAGAAGCAUAAAAUACCUACUCUCGUGGAAAACCUCGUUGGCAAACUCGUCUUUCAUCAACCAGAGAACCCUACCUCCUUCCUGGUAUCGGAGCUGGAGAAACUGAUCAAGCUGCGCUCCAACACGGAACAGGACGCGCCGAGCCUCUUCACAGACGAGAACAUUGUGGCCCUCUUCGAGCAGUACGACGUUAACCGCACUGGCGUCAUCUCGGCCAAGCAGUACAGCGACGCCUUCAAGACGCUCAGUCUACCACUCACAGUGACACCGGAGGUCCACUGUACCAAAGCCCAGUUUCUGGAUGACGUGCGGGCCAGUCUAAAACUGAAGGCGUGCGCCUUCUACUAGCGGAGAGCAGGUCGGACCUAGGCAGUGGCAUGGCCCCUGAAACACGGAAG